GGUAGAUGAUGAGAGGUAAGCCCUCGCAUAAAUGCGAGAAGGGUGUCCGCCCCUCUAUUACCUUGUUACGCUUAAUGGGCGCCCCCCAUUUUACCUUCUGAUAUC
rnacentral:snoRNA from 1 species